rnacentral:misc_RNA from 1 species
GGUCUCCUCCCUCUCGGUGUUCUUUGGUAAGUGCGGCAGAAUUUCGUGAAUUUAAUCGUGAAAAAGUGUUAAAAUCUCAAGCCAUCAUACAAUAAAAAGUGAUUUAAAUAGCGCAUACGGUCAUAUAGUGUGUGAUAGUGGAAAUAUUUAUUUGUGAACCUGUAAGUUGUCAUAGAAGAACAAAUAUCAGUUCAGCCGAAGUCAGCUCGCCGAUUCGGCCAUUUUCCUCUGUCAAUUAAAUAAUUCGUUUAGCGGCUAACAUUCAGCAGCUCUGCCCAUCAGAUCUUGUGCACGUUGUCGCUCGCCGCACCCAAAUAAAACACAAAAUGCUGUCCGCCGCCAGAUUGAUCGCCCCUGCAGCCAGGUCUGCCAUCUUCAGCAACACAGCCCUCGUGCGACCACUGGCUGCCAUCCCCUCCAACACACAUGUUGUCCCUGCUGCUCCAGCUCAGCUGUCAGCAGUGAGGUCCUUCCAGACCACCUCGGUCACCAAGGACAUUGACUCUGCGGCUAAAUUCAUUGGUGCUGGCGCAGCGACAGUGGGAGUAGCUGGCUCUGGCGCGGGAAUCGGAACGGUGUUCGGCUCCCUGAUCAUCGGUUACGCCAGGAACCCCUCCCUCAAGCAGCAGCUGUUCUCAUACGCCAUCUUGGGUUUCGCCUUGUCUGAGGCUAUGGGUCUCUUCUGUCUUAUGAUGGCGUUCCUGCUGUUGUUCGCUUUCUAAGCUACUUACUUUUAAGAACACUACUACUGCCAUCCCACAUGACGAGGUUUCAGUGAAUACUAUCUGGAGUGGACGGCCAUGGAAUCGAAUGUGUGGAAACCUCACCCUCAUAGUGAUGCAUGGACUGAUGUGUAUAAGUGUUACACUUACCAGUGCGCGUCAUCAGGAAUGCAAUUUAUUUAAUUAUGUAGUAUAAAAGAAAAUCUGCAAAUAAAAUGUUGUACGUAAACAUUA